CCUACGGGUGGCUGCAGUGAGGAAUCUUGGUCAAUGGACGAGAGUCUGAACCAGCCAAGUAGCGUGAAGGAUGACUGCCCUAUGGGUUGUAAACUUCUUUUAUAUGGGAAUAAAAUGUUCAACGUGUGGGAUUUUGUAUGUACCAUAUGAAUAAGGAUCGGCUAACUCCGUGCAAGCAGCCGCGGUAAUACAGAGGAUCCGAGCGUUAUCCGGAUUUGUUGGGUUUAAAGGGCGCGUAGGUGGUUUGUUAAGUCUGUUGUGAAAGUUUGCGGCUCAACCGUAAAAUUGCAGUUGAAACUGGCAGUCUUGAGUACAGUAGGGGUAGGCGGAAGUCGUGGUGUAGCAGUGAAAUGCUUAGAUAUCAAGAAGAACACCGAUGGCGAAGGCAGGUCACUGGACUUCAACUGACACUGAGGCUCGAAGGUGUGGGUAGCAAACAGGAUUAGAUACCCUGGUAGUC
rnacentral:rRNA from 1 species